UACGGAGGAUGCAAGCGUUAUCCGGAAUGAUUGGGCGUAAAGCGUCCGCAGGUGGCUGUUCAAGUCGAUUGUCAAAGAUUGGGGCUCAACUCCGAAACGGCAGUGGAAACUGAACGGCUAGAGUGCGGUAGGGGUAGAGGGAAUUCCCGGUGUAGCGGUGAAAUGCGUAGAGAUCGGGAAGAACACCAGUGGCGAAAGCGCUCUACUAAGCCGCAACUGACACUCAGGGACGAAAGCUAGGGGAGCGAAUGGG
rnacentral:rRNA from 1 species